AAGUCGUAACAAGGUUUCCGUAGGUGAACCUGCGGAAGGAUCAUUACUGAGGGGCUUCGGCCCCGUCAAGAUACCACCCCUUGCAUUUUGAGUACCUCUGUUUCCUCGGCGGGCUCGCCCGCCAACGGGGACCACAACAAACCCUUCUGUAGUUGCAGUAAACGUCUAAAACAAAAUAAAAUCAAAACUUUCAACAACGGAUCUCUUGGUUCUG
rnacentral:misc_RNA from 1 species